rnacentral:rRNA from 1 species
UACAGAGGGUGCAAGCGUUAAUCGGAAUUACUGGGCGUAAAGCGAGCGUAGUCGGUUAUUUAAGUCGGAUGUGAAAUCCCCGGGCUCAACCUGGGAAUUGCAUUCGAUACCGGAUAGCUAGAGUUCGGCAGAGGGAAGCGGAAUUUCUGGUGUAGCGGUGAAAUGCGUAGAUAUCAGAAGGAACAUCAGUGGCGAAAGCGGCUUCCUGGACCAGAACUGACGAUCAGGCUCGAAAGCGUGGGGAGCAAACAGG